rnacentral:rRNA from 1 species
GACGAACCGAGCGAACGUUGUUCGGAAUCACUGGGCUUAAAGGGCGCGUAGGCGGGCCUGAAAGUCAAGGGUGAAAGCCCCCGGCUCAACCGGGGAAGUGCCCCUGAUACUUCAGGCCUCGAGGGAGGUAGGGGCGUGCGGAACUUCCGGUGGAGCGGUGAAAUGCGUAGAUAUCGGAAGGAACGCCGGUGGCGAAAGCGAGCUGCUGGAUCCCUCCUGACGCUGAGGCGCGAAAGCCAGGGGAGCGAACGGG